rnacentral:rRNA from 1 species
GACGAACGCUGGCGGCGUGCUUAACACAUGCAAGUCGAACGGAAAGGCCCUUCGGGGUACUCGAGUGGCGAACGGGUGAGUAACACGUGGGUGAUCUGCCCUGCACUUUGGGAUAAGCCUGGGAAACUGGGCCUAAUACCGAAUAGGACCACACUCUUCAUGGUGUGUGGUGGAAAGCUUUUGCGGUGUGGAAUGGGCCCGCGGCCUAUCAGCUUGUUGGUGGGGUAAUGGCCUACCAAGGCGACGACGGGUAGCCGGCCUGAGAGGGUGUCCGGCCACACUGGGACUGAGAUACGGCCCAGACUCCUACGGGAGGCAGCAGUGGGGAAUAUUGCACAAUGGGCGCAAGCCUGAUGCAGCGACGCCGCGUGGGGGAUGACGGCCUUCGGGUUGUAAACCUCUUUCAGUAUCGGCGAAGCUCCAAGGUUUUCUUUGGGGUGACGGUAGGUACAGAAGAAGCACCGGCCAACUACGUGCCAGCCGCCGCGUAA